ensembl:lncRNA
GUUACUGUUCUUUCACCUCCUGCCCUAUUCACAUUCACCCUGCUGAGCUACCUUCCUUCCUGCCAGCUGUCUGCUUGGAACAACCUGUCAACCAGCAUCUGCUGGCUCCCAGCACAUCCCUGAAGCGAUGGCAGUGCCAACACUUUGGUUCCUCAAACACAGAGCUAUUCCUCCUGAAGAACCCCAAGCUGUUGACAGAUCAAAGAAAGGCGAGGACACAAGAGACAGCUGAUGAGGGGAAAAACACAGCAUUGUGCUGGUGGGGAAAUUCUUCAGCCUUCACAUCUGAAAGAGGCUUUGCUUCGCUGGACAGCAAGCGCUGUCUGUUCACCAGGCUGAACAUCCUCUGCCUCCAAUAUAGAUGUCACCAGCUGCUUUGGGAUCACUCAGGCUCCUUGUAUGUUCCUUCUUGCUCCCUGAUGCAGCCUUCCUGUAAAAGCUACCAUCGUCCUCUUUGGAAUUUCCUUCCCACAAAAGCUUUAGGAGAGAAUUUUGUAGGAGUGACUCAAGUGUGGAGCAAAGAUGAGCUUUGACGUAGGUGAAAGUGUGUGAUUGAAUCAAGUCUUCUGAGUUCAAGAACCUCUUCUGGUGCAGGAGGGGAUCACGGCCACUGAAAGCUGGGCUUUUUUUACCCACAAACUCUGGUGAAGGGUUUUGCACUAUGGCAGGAGCAACGAGCACCAAUAAGGGAGAUACUCAUCCUGCUCUUGCAGGGACAAGCUUGAAGUUCUACCCACUGUCUCUCAGUGCCCAAGGGUUGUUUCAUGGAGCAUGGAAAGAUCUCAUUAUUUUGUCAGUAAAAAGUAUUUAUGGCUUUCUUCUUUAAAUAACUUUAGACACCAUCCCUGGAGGUGUUCCAGAGCCAUGGAGAUGUGGCAUUGAGGGACAUGGUCAGUGGGCAUGGUGGGAUGGGUUGGGCUUGAUCUUAGAAGACUUUUCCAACCUUAAUGAUUCUGUGGUCAGAAAAAAGAAAAGGGAAAGAAGGAAA